UACGAAGGGGGGCUAGCGUUGUUCGGAAUUACUGGGCGUAAAGCGCGCGCAGGCGGUCUUCCAAGUCAGUGGUGAAAGCCUGGAGCUCAACUCCAGAACUGCCAUUGAAACUGUUAGACUUGAGUACGAGAGAGGUGAGUGGAAUUCCCCAGUGUAGAGGUGAAAUUCGUAGAUAUUGGGAAGAACACCAGUGGCGAAGGCGGCUCACCUGGCUCGUAACUGACGCUCAGGCGCGACAGCGUGGGGAUCAAACAGG
rnacentral:rRNA from 1 species